CCCUACGGGACGCAGCAGUGAGGAAUAUUGGCCAAUGGGAGAGAUCCUGAACCAGCCAAGCCGCGUGAGGGAAGACGGCCCUAUGGGUUGUAAACCUCUUUUGUCGGAGAACAAAACCCGGGUCGUGUCCCGGACUGCGUGUAUCCGAAGAAAAAGCAUCGGCUAACUCCGUGCCAGCAGCCGCGGUAAUACGGAGGAUGCGAGCGUUAUCCGGAUUUAUUGGGUUUAAAGGGUGCGUAGGCUGUUCGUUAAGUCAGCGGUAAAAU
rnacentral:rRNA from 1 species